rnacentral:rRNA from 1 species
UACGGAGGGAGCUAGCGUUGUUCGGAAUUACUGGGCGUAAAGCGCGCGUAGGCGGCUUUGUAAGUUAGAGGUGAAAGCCCGGGGCUCAACCCCGGAACUGCCUUUAAGACUGCAUCGCUUGAAUCCGGGAGAGGUGAGUGGAAUUCCGAGUGUAGAGGUGAAAUUCGUAGAUAUUCGGAAGAACACCAGUGGCGAAGGCGGCUCACUGGACCGGCAUUGACGCUGAUGUGCGAAGGCGUGGGGAGCAAACAGG